GGGGGUAUAGCUCAGCGGUAGAGCACACGCUUAGCAUGCUCGAGGUCCUGGGUUCAAUCCCCAGUACCUCCA
rnacentral:tRNA from 1 species